AUGGCCUGGACGUGGUCAGCGGCGGGCGCGGCGACCGAGCAGAAGAGAAGGCAGCAGAGCUCGAAGCAUCGGAGGGAGGUGGCCAGGUACAAGAAGAGAGACAAGGAAUUCGAGGCUCUCGGCAAAUACUUCACACUGUUCAUGGUGCUGGCUACCGCGUUCGUGCUCGCGGCGCUCUACCUCCGCCAUAGGAGCCCCCACGCAGCCCUUGUCUGCGUGAUCAUGGCGGCCUGGUGGAUGCAUGGCGUCGCCAAAGUGACCGCUCGUAUUAGACGGGAAUUCCGCUUCUUAUGGGACGCGAUGUUCAGGCUCGGUUAUGAUGAGGCGUGGGAAUAA
rnacentral:rRNA from 1 species